AAUGAACGUUGGCGGCAUGGAUUAGGCAUGCAAGUCGAGCGAGAAGUGUAGCAAUACACGGAAAGCGGCGGAAGGGAGAGUAAUACGUGGGAAUCUGCCCUUAGACCUGGGAUAGCAGCGGGAAACUGCUGGUAAUACCAGAUAAUGUCUAUGGACCAAAGGUGUGAUUCCGUCUAGGGAUGAGCCCACGUCCUAUUAGCUAGUUGGUAGGGUAAUGGCCUACCAAGGCGAUGAUGGGUAGCGGGUGUGAGAGCAUGACCCGCCUCACUGGGGAUGAGACACUGCCCAGACACCUACGGGUGGCUGCAGUAGGGAAUCUUCGGCAAUGGGCGCAAGCCUGACCGAGCGAUGCCGCGUGCGGGAUGAAGGCCUUCGGGUUGUAAACCGCUGUCGAGGGGGAGCAACUUCCAUAGAGUUAUCUUUAUGGAUUGAGUGAUCCCUGGAGGAAGGACGGGCUAAGUUCGUGCCAGCCGCCGCCGUAAGAC
rnacentral:rRNA from 1 species